GCCUCCCUCUUUCCUCGUGCUUAACACAUGCAAGUCGAACGGUGAAGCGCCUUCCUUUUUGGUGGGUGUGGAUGAGUGGCGAACGGGUGAGUAACACGUGAGUCACCUGCCCCCUUCUUCUGGAUAACCGCAUGCAAGUGUGACUAAUACGGGAUAUUCUGGGUCUGUCGCAUGAUGGGUCUGGGAAAGAUAUUGUUUCGGUGGGGGAUGGGCUCGCGGACUAUCAGCUUGUUGGUGGGGUGAUUGCCUACUCAGGCGGUGACGGGUAGCCGGCCUGGGGGGGUGGACCACCACAGGAGGGCUGAGACACGGCGCAGACUCCGGCGGGAGGCAGCAGGGGAGAAUAUGGCACGAACGACGCAAUGCUGAUGCAGCGACGCCGGGUUAGGGAAGGAGGCCUGAUGGUUGUGAUCCGCUGUCGCAAGUGAAGCAGGCCUGCAUUGUUUGUGGGUGGGUUGACGGUAGCUAGAUAAGAAGCGCCGGCUAACUACGUG
rnacentral:rRNA from 1 species